rnacentral:rRNA from 1 species
GUGUCAGCAGCCGCGGUAAGACGUAGGGCGCGAGCGUUGUCCGGAUUUAUUGGGCGUAAAGAGCUCGUAGGCGGCUUGUUGCGUCAGCUGUGAAAGCCCAUGGCUUAACUGUGGGUUGGCAGCUGAUACGGGCAGGCUAGAGUUCGGUAGGGGAGACUGGAAUUCCUGGUGUAGCGGUGAAAUGCGCAGAUAUCAGGAGGAACACCGGUGGCGAAGGCGGGUCUCUGGGCCGAUACUGACGCUGAGGAGCGAAAGCGUGGGGAGCGAACAGGAUUAGAUACCCUGGUAGUCCACGCUGUAAACGUUGGGCGCUAGGUGUGGGGGGCCUCUCCGGUUUCCUGUGCCGUAGCUAACGCAUUAAGCGCCCCGCCUGGGGAGUACGGCCGCAAGGCUAAAACUUAAAUGAAUUGGCGGGG